GAUGAACGCUGGCGGCGUGCUUAACACAUGCAAGUCGAACGAACCUUCGGGUUAGUGGCGGACGGGUGAGUAACGCGUGAGAAUCUGCCCUCAGGAGGGGGAUAACGGUUGGAAACGACCGCUAAUACCCCAUAUGCCUACUGGUGAAAUGAAUUUCGCCUGAGGAUGAGCUCGCGUCUGAUUAGCUUGUUGGUGAGGUAAUGGCUUACCAAGGCUUCGAUCAGUAGCUGGUCUGAGAGGAUGAUCAGCCACACUGGGACUGAGACACGGCCCAGACUCCUACGGGAGGCAGCAGUGGGGAAUUUUCCGCAAUGGGCGAAAGCCUGACGGAGCAACGCCGCGUGAGGGACGAAGGCCUCUGGGCUGUAAACCUCUUUUCUCAAGGAAGAAGAUAUGACGGUACUUGAGGAAUAAGCCACGGCUAAUUCCGUGCCAGCAGCCGCGGUAAUACGGGAGUGGCAAGCGUUAUCCGGAAUUAUUGGGCGUAAAGCGUCCGCAGGCGGCUUUUCAAGUCUGCUGUUAAAGCGUGGAGCUUAACUCCAUCAUGGCAGUGGAAACUGAAAGGCUUGAGUAUGGUAGGGGCAGAGGGAAUUCCCGGUGUAGCGGUGAAAAUGCGUAGAUACCGGGAAGAACACCAGUGGCGAAGGCGCUCUGCUGGGCCAUUACUGACGCUCAUGGACGAAAGCCAGGGGAGCGAAAGGGAUUAGAUACCCCUGUAGUCCUGGCCGUAAACGAUGAACACUAGGUGUCGGGGGAAUCGACCCCUUCGGUGUCGUAGCUAACGCGUUAAGUGUUCCGCCUGGGGAGUACGCACGCAAGUGUGAAACUCAAAGGAAUUGACGGGGGCCCGCACAAGCGGUGGAGUAUGUGGUUUAAUUCGACGCAACGCGCAGAACCUUACCCAGCCUUGACAUCCCUGGACAACCAUAGAGAUAUGGCUUUCUCUCGCAAGAGAGACCGGGUGACAGGUGCUGCAUGGCUGUCGUCAGCUCGUGUCGUGAGAUGUUCGGUUAAGUCCGGUAACGAGCGCAACCCCUGUCCUUAGUUGCCAUCAUUCAGUUGGGCACUCUAAGGAGACUCCCGGUGUUAAACCGGCGGAAGAUGGGGAUGACGUCAAGUCCUCAUGGCCCUUACGGCUGGGGCUACACACGUACUACAAUGGCAACUACAAAGAGCAGCAAAGUCGCGAGGCCUAGCAAAUCUCAAAAAAGUUGCCUCAGUUCGGAUUGGAGUCUGCAACUCGACUCCAUGAAGUUGGAAUCGCUAGUAAUCGAGGAUCAGCAUGCCACGGUGAAUACGUUCCCGGGCCUU
rnacentral:rRNA from 1 species